rnacentral:tRNA from 1 species
GGGACAGUAGUUCAGUUGGGAGAACGUCCGACUGAAGAUCGGAAGGUCGCCGGUUCGAGUCCGGCCUGUCCCA